rnacentral:misc_RNA from 1 species
GAUCAAGUAGGCCUCAUGGACUGGUGAGCUCCCAAUUUUACUUGAUUUAACUUCCGUUUGGUUCUCUAGAAAAAUCGCAGAAAAUAGUAAAGAAAACUUUCGCAUAUGGCACCUGUAUCGAGUUACGUAACUUCGAUUUCUAUACCUUCUCUGGAAUUCGCUGAAUCCUAACGGAGCUCGUUGCCUUUGUUCUAUUAUUGAACU